GUAACCGCCUCUUGCAACCUAUAUAUUAGCAUUUAUAUUUUUCCACUUGGAUCCAAAGCACGGAUCACCCUGCCACUUCCCAUUAGCGUUAGCAGCACUCCGAAUUGCAGAAUCGCCAGAUGAACGUGCCGAGUCCUGUCAUUUCCCCCACAGGCUGUCUAGCGAUGAUAAUCCACUAAAGGAUUGUUUCAUCCAAGUGGCGGUGUCCGAGUCAAAUGCCGGCAACAGGCAGGGAAGCCCAAACCUGUUGAGGCAGACAUCUGCCGAGAUGGGAGGAAUAGGAGUGACGGCCCUUAAGAGGGCAAGGCGGGGGACAUACUUUGCGCCAGCAGAAUAAGUCCAUGGGCUGCACCCGUGAUGGGAGACGGAGACCAUGAUCAUGAUGGGUGGAAGUUUGCGGGCCGCGAUGCCGAUGCUGGCCAAAGCAGGCCUGGGGGUGUGCUGUUUGGAGGAGUGCCUUGUCAGAUUAGCCGUGCGGCUACUGUAUUUGAUGCUCAACCUGGAUGGACAGGCCUGCCAGGCAGAAACUGCUCAGGCAGAUGAUGCUAGGGAGGACAAAAAUUAUCCACUGCAAGACUAAGACAACAGAUGACACCCAGCAGGAACAGCAAGCCAAAUCUGCAGAAUCCACAAUGCAGCUGGCUUGCCUGAGGCUACCUGCCUCUUUGAAGUGGAAUAGACAUCACCGAUGAGCUGUCAAAUUAGAUCACCAGCCUGGAAAUGCUGAAAAAGAUUUAGUUCUUCCAACAGAGAAGGGAAAGUUUAAUAGAUGAAAAUCUUCCUAAAGGGGCCAAGGUAGUGUGGGAGGGGAAAGGGGAAUCUUUCAGAUGCAGCAACAAUGAAAAAUUACUUACCUCCCGCCUGCCUGCAGAGUGAGAGUUUGGAUGCACGAUGUUCUGCAGCAGCUACAGUGGCUACGAUCACUACCAGCAUGGAAAAUAAAGGCCACGCCUGCAGGAACAGCACAGAGCAGCAACAAGUAACCUUGCUACAAAAUCAAUCCCACCGCUCCCUCCCCCCCCAGAUCUCUGGUAUCUUUACAUAUCUCCCUAGAGCUGGGCUCUGAAGUACUAUCAAUCUAAUACUCGAGACACGCAGCGGUGGGAUACAAAGUCUCAGCCUGAAUCCGAAAGCUCAGGCAGCAGAGGCGCACGAUGGCAUCUCCCCUCAUGCAUCUUUUGCCAUAAAGCACAAAAGAAGUGCAGAAUACAAUUCAAUUUUGAUAAAUCUAGAACAAAAAUUAACAUUACCAAGCGAGUAAGCAUGUGCUCAGGUGUAUGGUGAAUAUGAAACGUGGCAUUUCCAUUACGGACAACAGCAGCGCGAUCCAAUUAUAGAUGCAAAGAAGAAAUUCCGCUCUUAGGGGGAAAAUAUUAAACAUAUUAAUCCAUUAAGCAGCUGCAUCAUUGCAAUUACACUUUGAAGUUAAAGACAAUGAAACACACCAAAGAUUAAAAGAAACGAUAGGAUUGAAAGCAAAAA